rnacentral:rRNA from 1 species
CCUACGGGAGGCAGCAGUGAGGAAUAUUGGUCAAUGGGCGAGAGUCUGAACCAGCCAAGUAGCGUGAAGGAUGACUGCCCUACGGGUUGUAAACUUCUUUUAUAAAGGAAUAAAGUGAUGCACAUGUGCCAUUUUGUAUGUACCUUAUGAAUAAGGAUCGGCUAACUCCGUGCCAGCAGCCGCGGUAAUACGGAGGAUCCGAGCGUUAUCCGGAUUUAUUGGGGUUAAAGGGAGCGUAGGUGGGUUGUUAAGUCAGUUGUGAAAGUUUGCGGCUCAACCGUAAAAUUGCAGUUGAAACUGGCAGCCUUGAGUACAGUAGAGGUAGGCGGAAUUCGUGGUGUAGCGGUGAAAUGCUUAGAUAUCACGAAGAACUCCGAUUGCGAAGGCAGCUUACUGGACUGCAACUGACACUGAUGCUCGAAAGUGUGGGUAUCAAACAGGAUUAGAUACCCCGGUAGUC